GAUGAACGCUGGCGGCGUGCCUAAUACAUGCAAGUCGAGCGAACGGACGAGAAGCUUGCUUCUCUGAUGUUAGCGGCGGACGGGUGAGUAACACGUGGAUAACCUACCUAUAAGACUGGGAUAACUUCGGGAAACCGGAGCUAAUACCGGAUAAUAUUUUGAACCGCAUGGUUCAAAAGUGAAAGACGGUCUUGCUGUCACUUAUAGAUGGAUCCGCGCUGCAUUAGCUAGUUGGUAAGGUAACGGCUUACCAAGGCAACGAUGCAUAGCCGACCUGAGAGGGUGAUCGGCCACACUGGAACUGAGACACGGUCCAGACUCCCACGGGAGGCAGCAGUAGGGAAUCUUGCGCAAUGGGCGAAAGCCUGACGGAGCAACGCCGCGUGAGUGAUGAAGGUCUUCGGAUCGUAAAACUCUGUUAUUAGGGAAGAACAUAUGUGUAAGUAACUGUGCACAUCUUGACGGUACCUAAUCAGAAAGCCACGGCUAACUACGUG
rnacentral:rRNA from 1 species